rnacentral:rRNA from 1 species
CCUACGGGUCGCUGCAGUGGGGGAUAUUGCACAAUGGGGGGAACCCUGAUGCAGCGACGCCGCGUGGGUGAAGAAGCGCCUCGGCGCGUAAAGCCCUGUCAGCAGGGAAGAAAAUGACGGUACCUGAAGAAGAAGCCCCGGCUAACUACGUGCUAGCAGCCGCGGUAAUACGUAGGGGGCAAGCGUUAUCCGGAUUUACUGGGUGUAAAGGGGGCGCAGACGGCGAUGCAAGCCAGGAGUGAAAGCCCGGGGCUCAACCCCGGGACUGCUGUUGGAAAUGCGUGGCUGGAGUGCAGGAGGGGCAGGCGGAAUUCCUGGUGUAGCGGUGAAAUGCGUAGAUAUCAGGAGGAACACCGGUGGCGAAGGCGGCCUGCUGGACUGCAACUGACGUUGAGGCCCGAAAGCGUGGGGAGCAAACAGGAUUAGAUACCCGAGUAGUC